AAUGGGCGCGAGCCUGAACCAGCCAUGCCGCGUGCAGGAAGACGGCCUCUGGGUUGUAAACUGCUUUUAUCAGGGAAGAAAAGGGUCCUGCGGGACAGAUUGCCGGUACCUGAGGAAUAAGCACCGGCUAACUCCGUGCCAGCAGCCGCGGUAAUACGGAGGGUGCAAGCGUUGUCCGGAUUUAUUGGGUUUAAAGGGUGCGUAGGCGGUUAGAUAAGUCAGUGGUGAAAGGCUACAGCUCAACUGUGGGAGUGCCAUUGAUACUGUUUAGCUAGGGUACAGACGAGGUAGGCGGAAUUUAUGGUGUAGCGGUGAAAUGCAUAGAUACCAUAAGGAAGGCCGAUUGCGAAGGCAGCUUACUAGACUGUGACCGACGCUGAUUCACGAAAGCGUGGGUAUCGAACAGGAUU
rnacentral:rRNA from 1 species